rnacentral:rRNA from 1 species
GACGAACGCUGGCGGCAUGCCUAACACAUGCAAGUCGAACGAGACCUUCGGGCCUAGUGGCGCACGGGUGCGUAACGCGUGGGAACCUGCCCUUAGGUUCGGAAUAACUCCCCGAAAGGGGUGCUAAUACCGGAUAAUGUCUUCGGACCAAAGAUUUAUCGCCUUUGGAUGGGCCCGCGUUGGAUUAGCUAGUUGGUAGGGUAAAAGCCUACCAAGGCGUCGAUCCAUAGCUGGUCUGAGAGGAUGAUCAGCCACACUGGGACUGAGACACGGCCCAGACUCCUACGGGAGGCAGCAGUGGGGAAUAUUGGACAAUGGGCGAAAGCCUGAUCCAGCAAUGCCGCGUGAGUGAUGAAGGCCUUAGGGUUGUAAAGCUCUUUUACCCGGGAUGAUAAUGACAGUACCGGGAGAAUAAGCUCCGGCUAACUCCGUG